rnacentral:rRNA from 1 species
AUUGAACGCUGGCGGCAGGCCUAACACAUGCAAGUCGAACGAGUGGCGGACGGGUGAGUAAUGUCUGGGAAACUGCCCGAUGGAGGGGGAUAACUACUGGAAACGGUAGCUAAUACCGCAUACCAUCGGAUGUGACCCGAUGGGAUUAGCUCGUGUGUGAGGUAACGGCGCACCCAGGCGACGCGCCCCAGCUGGUCUGAGAGGAUGACCAGCCACACUGGAACUGCGACACGGUCCAGACUCCUACGUGAGGCAGCAGUGGGGAAUAUUUCACAAUGGGCGAAAGCCUGAUCCAGCCAUGCCGCGUGUGUGAAGAAGGUCUGCGGAUUGUAAAGCACUUUAAGUUGGGAGGCGUUACCAACAGAAUAAGCACCGGCUAACUUCGUGCCAGCCGCCGCGGUAAUUC